AUUGAACGCUGGCGGCAUGCCUUACACAUGCAAGUCGAACGGCAGCACGGGUGCUUGCACCUGGUGGCGAGUGGCGAACGGGUGAGUAAUACAUCGGAACAUGUCCUGUAGUGGGGGAUAGCCCGGCGAAAGCCGGAUUAAUACCGCAUACGAUCCACGGAUGAAAGCGGGGGACCUUCGGGCCUCGCGCUAUAGGGUUGGCCGAUGGCUGAUUAGCUAGUUGGUGGGGUAAAGGCCUACCAAGGCGACGAUCAGUAGCUGGUCUGAGAGGACGACCAGCCACACUGGGACUGAGACACGGCCCAGACUCCUACGGGAGGCAGCAGUGGGGAAUUUUGGAUAAUGGGCGAAAGCCUGAUCCAGCAAUGCCGCGUGUGUGAAGAAGGCCUUCGGGUUGUAAAGCACUUUUGUCCGGAAAGAAAUCCUUGGCUCUAAUACAGUCGGGGGAUGACGGUACCGGAAGAAUAAGCACCGGCUAACUACGUG
rnacentral:rRNA from 1 species